AGAGAGUUGAUUAAAUUUGGAUUUUCUUAAUGAAUAAUAUGUUUACAUAUCAAAAUUCACCACUGAUUUUGAUAACUAAAUGUUAUCAACAAUUUUUUGAAGAAGUUAAGCAAUUUAUUAAAAAUAUCACUUUGAGUCACAUUUCUCAAUCUGUAGUGCCUACUGUUGUAGCCGAGCAUCAGUUAUGUUGGCACAAGGCUGUCCUUGAAUGUGACAUAAAUUUUGUAAUUAAUUAUUGGAUAAAGCAGUAAUCAGCAAUAUCUUUAUGCUGUAAAUGGUAAAAAGUGAAAAAUUCUAUAAUUUUCAAAAACUUUAAUAUAUAGAUUUUAGUACUGAGC
rnacentral:lncRNA from 1 species